UGUUCUGUGGCUUAGUUGGUUAAAGCGCCGGUCUAGCGAAUACGGAGUCGUGGGUUCGAAUCCCACCGGAACUC
rnacentral:tRNA from 1 species